UACGAAGGGGGCUAGCGUUGUUCGGAAUUACUGGGCGUAAAGCGCACGUAGGCGGAUUGUUAAGUCGGGGGUGAAAUCCUGAGGCUCAACCUCAGAAUUGCCUUCGAUACUGGCGAUCUUGAGUUCGGAAGAGGUUGGUGGAACAGCUAGUGUAGAGGUGAAAUUCGUAGAUAUUAGCUAGAACACCAGUGGCGAAGGCGGCCAACUGGUCCGAUACUGACGCUGAGGUGCGAAAGCGUGGGGAGCAAACAGG
rnacentral:rRNA from 1 species